ensembl:lncRNA
GCCCAUUAUAUUUGACGCUGAAUCUGAUGCAAUGGACGUAUAGCCAAUAAGAUUUCCGUCACGGGGAUGUCCCACAUGAAGGGGUUGUGGAAGGAGGGUGGGCUACAGGCCUAAGCGUAAACAUGAACAAUGGAUGCCGGCUGUCCAUGCGUAAAUGCGUAAUAGUGAGAGUGAGCGUAUAUCUCCAUUCCAGUGGUAUUUCCAGUGACCAGAGAGAUGGCGAAACGCAUGGAAAAGAAGAAUUACACUGUUGAAGAAGUUAUUGAAGAGUGUACGAGACGGGAAAGCGACUUUUCUGACGAGGAUGUGUCGGAUGCGCAAAGUUAUGUGUCGUCUGUUGACUCGGUGGAGGAGGACAUGUUCAUUGAAGGAGAAGAUAUUGUCCAUGACAAGCAAACUGAUUCAGAUACAGAGUGGGAGCCAAGCACCAGAGCCAGAGCAGCCUCCUACUCCCAGUGUACAACAUCACAAGCCAGUCUACAUCUCUGGUGACAGUAAGACACCCAUCAAGCUUUCUAGCUGUGCUUUGUAGCAGCCCGUGACUGUAACAGUGGCAUACUGAGAACAACAUGUGGCUGUGAAACCUGUGGAAUUGUAAACAUGUAAACAGUUUGCUGUAAGUAGUUUGGGUAUUUGUUUAGAUAAAGGUGUUGUUUUUGACCAUAUCUCUUGUUCUGAGUCUUUUCUUGUGAUGCACAAUUUCAGUUUCAGUAGAAUAAUGAGCAUUCAAUGUGUUUUUGCUUCACUAACAUUAUUUCAAUCAUACUAAUAGUGAAUCUGAAUAUGGAAUGAGGUUCCUCUAAGUGGCACCUUUCAUUAGAGCUCUCAUUGAUGUCUGUAUGUUGAAGCAUUCCAGAGUUAUGCACUUUGGUGCCAAAGUGUCCAUUUGGAGACUCCAAAUGGCACUUUUUGGAGAGCGCCUGGGAAUACCUACAGAAAAACCUGUCCCAAAUGGUCAUUUCUUGUCCAAUUACUAUCUACUUUUAACUGGGAAUAGGUAAGACUUCAGCCUGUGUCACUAUAUUGUCAUCUAAUCAACAUCACCAUGCUCCAGUUGUCAAGCAGCCUUUUUUUACAAAAAAAAUUUAGGCGAGCUACAAAAUCUUUUUAUUUCUCUGUGUUUAGACUUCUCUCACUGUUAACCAUUUGCAAUUGCAGUAAAUCACACAGCUAAAAUAAAAAUUUCAGAGUGUUACCUUCACAAUGAGACCAAGCUUUUGCACAUACUCCUAAGGGCUCACAAACAGCUUGUAGUUUAAUUUGGGUAUGCCUUUGACAGGCGUUUCAUCAACUAUUGAGGGUGGUGUUAAAGGGUUAAACUGUCA